rnacentral:rRNA from 1 species
UCGAGAAUUUUUCACAAUGGGCGAAAGCCUGAUGGAGCGACGCCGCGUGGGGGAUGAAUGGCUUCGGCCCGUAAACCCCUGUCAUUCGCGAACAAAUUGGUUCACUUAAUACCUGAACCAUUGAUAGUAGCGGAAGAGGAAGGGACGGCUAACUCUGUGCCAGCAGCCGCGGUAAUACAGAGGUCCCAAGCGUUGUUCGGAUUCACUGGGCGUAAAGGGUGCGUAGGCGGUCGGGUAAGUCUGAUGUGAAAUCUCAGAGCUCAACUCUGAAACUGCAUUGGAUACUAUUCGGCUUGAGGUCUGGAGGGGGGACUGGAAUUCUCGGUGUAGCAGUGAAAUGCGUAGAUAUCGAGAGGAACACCAGUGGCGAAGGCGAGUCCCUGGACAGAUCCUGACGCUGAGGCACGAAAGCUAGGGGAGCAAACAG